UCCAGACUCCUACGGGAGGCAGCAGUGAGGAAUAUUGGUCAAUGGGCGGAAGCCUGAACCAGCCAAGUCGCGUGAGGGAAUAAGGCCCUACGGGUCGUAAACCUCUUUUGCCGGGGAGCAAGGGCGGGGACGUGUCCCGGCCCGGAGAGUGCCCGGAGAAAAAGCAUCGGCUAACUCCGUGCCAGCAGCCGCGGUAAUACGGAGGAUGCGAGCGUUAUCCGGAUUUACUGGGUGUAAAGGGAGCGCAGGCGGGAAGCCAAGUCAGCUGUGAAAACUACGGGCUUAACUUGUAGACUGCAGUUGAAACUGGUUUUCUUGAGUGAAGUAGAGGUUGGCGGAAUUCCGAGUGUAGCGGUGAAAUGCGUAGAUAUUCGGAGGAACACCGGUGGCGAAGGCGGCCAACUGGGCUUUAACUGACGCUGAGGCUCGAAAGUGUGGGGAGCAAACAGGAUUAGAUACCCGGGUAAG
rnacentral:rRNA from 1 species